UACGGGGGGGGCAAGCGUUGUUCGGAAUUACUGGGCGUAAAGGGCUCGUAGGCGGCCAACUAAGUCGGAUGUGAAAUCCCCAAGCUUAACUUGGGAACUGCAUCCGAUACUGGAUGGCUUGAAUCCGGGAGAGGGAUGCAGAACUCCAGGUGUAGCGGUGAAAUGCGUAGAUAUCUGGAGGAAUACCGGUGGCGAAGGCGGCAUCCUGGACCGAUAUUGACACUGAUGAGCGAAAGCUAGGGGAGCAAACGGG
rnacentral:rRNA from 1 species